CUUUUUUUUCUUGAGUUCCUGUUUCAUUUUCCAAAGUGUAACUUCUCUGUGCCACAGUUUUCUCAUCUAUAAAUUUAGAGUAAAAAUAAUGCCAUAGGGUUGAUGUGAAGGUUCAAAGUUAGUUCCUGCGAAGUGCUAAGAAGACUACCUUGCAAGUAUUGCUCUGUAAUAUUUUCAGAAAGGGAAGUAAAACUCCCUGAGUCCAAAAACCCUUGAAAUAUCUUUAUUUUCUACCACACCACUUGGUUGAUAGUUUGGAAUAGAAUUUCAGUUUCAAAAUAACUUUCCCUUAAAACCUGUGCCUUCAUCCUCCAACAUUAUAUUCUGUUGGUAAGUCAGUUCAGUUCUUGUCCUUUGUAGACCAUCUUUUUUUUUUUCUUCCUUCUAGAAGCAGCUAGGGCUCUUGUUUUCUCAUUGGGGCUCUACAAUGGUAACAGAGUAUAGGCGGUAGUUUUGUAUUCUCUUCCACUCGUCCUACUUAGUACUUGCUAUGCCCUUUCUAUUUCAAAACUCAGGUUCUGUCUUUAGUUGAGAAGAUUCUCCUGUUUUAUUUCCUUUAUUUCCCCUCCUCUAUUGUCCUUGUUAUCUGAUUCUGGAGAUCUAAGGAUGCUAUUAGAAUUUUAAAAAAUUAUCUUCUGUUCCAAUAGUUAUUUCUCUUCCCACUGGGAUUAGUUGUCCAUUUCUUCCUCUUGAAUAUUCUAUUUUCUUUUUUCCCUUUUCAAAUUCCUGCUGUUUUUUGGUUGUGUCUUCAUGAAUGUUGAGCAAAGGUAGUUGGUGAGCAAAGGUAGUUGAUGUGGUUUCCUGUGCAAAUGUGUUGGUCUGUAAAGCAGAACCAUCACCCUCUUGACCUGGACGCACAUGGGUGGCUCUGGUAACAGGUGCGCUUCCCCCGGGGUGCCAGAGCAGAGAACAGGCUUGAAACCUUCCAUCAUUGGUUCUUUCCUCAGAUGAUCCCAAUUCUUCAGAGGUAAAAAAAUAUAUCCAGUAAAAUAAUUAUUUAAUUGUCUCGUAAAGCAAAUCCGUACAUUAACUGAAUUUUAUCUGCUUUCAUUCUGGGGAGAAGAAGGCAGCAGAGCGCAUAAGGGACCGAAUUGUAAUGAAGGACUAGGCAGAGAGUUGAUAGAGCGGCAUAAACGUUUGCAGAGACAAAGCACCAUUACGUUUCUCCAUUCGUGAUUGCCCGUGGCUCAUCUGGUGUUUUGUUGCUCAAGAAGCUGACAGCCUGAUGGGCCUUCCCACGUGCCCCUCCACGCAUUCCCGGGGCAUCACUCACUAGACGCUGUUUGCUGGAUCCAUGUGGUGGGUCUCUUCCUACCUGGUCCCCAUCUCUGGGGUCUCCUUGCAGUGGCUGACUCUCCUGGGAUCUCUGUGGGAUCUCAGCCAUCAUCACAGUGGUUAAACCUCCGUCUCUAGCCCACGUCUCUCUCUGAAGUCCCACCUGGGGGUCCCCUUCUCCCACGCACAGCCCCCAGGCUGAGGUCAGCAUUUUUCCUGCUCUCUUGUUCCCAAGAGCCUAUUUUGCUUUGUGGUGUCCCAUCUAUCUGGUGAUCCGAGCCUGGCAGCAGGAGACAUCACACGCAGGGCCCUUUAUUUCACCUCUGACAUCUUAGUAAUUACGUGAUCUUGUCUUUCGUGGUGUGAGCUGCUUUAACAAACACCGCGGACUGGGGGGCUUAAACAACAGAGAUUUAUUUCUCACAGUUUUGGGGGCUGGAAAUCUGAGAUCGGGGUACGGCCUGAGCAGCUGGGGGUCCUCUCCAUAGUUUGCAGAUGCACGCCUCUAGCAGAGAGAAGGUCACCUCUGGUGUCUUUCUUAGAAGGGCACUAAUGCCACUGAGGGGGCUCCACGCUUAUGACCUACUCACCUCCCAGAGGCCCCUCUCCUGAUAUUGUCACACUGGGGACUGGGCUUCGAUGUGUGGAUUUGGGGGGACACUCACUUUCAGUCCGUGGACUAUCUUGUAUCUUUCACGCACCUGUUGUGUGUCCCCUUCUCAGUCUUCUCAUGCUUUAGCUCAAGUCUUCCUUGUCCUGGUCUGCGUGGCCUCUAGAUGUUUUCUCCCUGUGCUUGUGUGUGUUUUUCUCUGACGACACUGCACACAUCCAGAGUGUGGCUCUUGUGCUGCAAGGUCUUGUGUGCGGGACCAUACCUGUCUGUCUGUCUGUCUGUCUGUCUGUCUUCUCCUCUAAGUCCUUAGGGCCUCCGUCCCCAAUCUCUUAUGCACCCACAACAACAAUGACAACCAGUGGCAAUUAAGCUCCCCAUGGGUAGGGCUUUUUAUACUUUUCCUGUUUUAUUCGCAGCUGGUCUCCAGGACCUAGAACAGUGCACGACCUACCAUUGGUGUCGAAGAAAUAGGGUAUGAAUCCACUCAUACCUAUUUCCAUCCAUCUGACAAGUGCGUCUUCCCCAGCUCCUGUCCCUGUCUCCUGACUUUUCCUCUUUCCCUCCCUAUCAGGUGUCACACACGAAUACAAACCACUCUGAUAGCACCUUCCGGACAAUAGUGGAGAAGAAUGCAUUGGCCACGCCUGUGGCUGCAUCCCGUGGGCUGGGACACGUUAAUCACCUCUGGCAAAGCUACUCCGACUGGAAGUCACAAAGGGGGUUGCUGCUUGGUUGUCCUGUCCUGUAGAGUAUGUUGGGAUUGUUUCCAGGCCAGAUUGGUGAAUGAAAUAGAUGUGUGUUGGGUUCAUACCCUGCACCCCCCUCAGUCUUCAACCCCUGGUGUUCCUUCCAGAUGAUGAGACUCAGAGACCGCCGUUCAACUCCAUUAUCCUCGUAAUUACCGCUUUCCAAAGUUCUCCAGCAUCUGAGAUGUUGUACCUACAGUGCGUUCCUUCCCUUCCACGCUGUCUGUCCCAGUGCGCCAGUGGUCAAAGUUUUAACACUGCGCCAUGACAUCCUGCCAAGGGCUUUCAGUACCCCACCUGCCAGCGGUGUGGCAGAUGGAUGCCGUGCGCUCCAGGGCUGAGUUCUCCCAUCUGAAUUGCUACUUGUAGACAAUCUGAUGGACUGGGCACCUUGGGAGCGUAAGGAAGCUGCCAAGGGUACUUCUUCAGCCUUUGUUCUGAUGAAGAGCACAGGGCGCGUGCGUAUUCCCACUGCAUCGAUUUGAAAAUACUUGGGUGUGUUUGCAGAGGAGGGGACUUGUCAGUUGCAGUGGUGGUGGGCCUCAUGGGCGCAGGCACGCCUGGCGGGGAACUAGGGACCAGCAGGGGAUUUCCAUCACCCAGAAGAGAGAGGUACCUUAGGCCAAGAGUGAACUUGUUUUAAAUGACAGGAGUGGCUAAAGACUCAGGUAACUGAAGAGAGAGAAAGACAAGAUUUGAAGAAUCUGGUAAAUGAAUAGUUAGCCUUUGUGUGUCCUAGGAA